rnacentral:rRNA from 1 species
AGUGAACGCUGGCGGUAGGCCUAACACAUGCAAGUCGAACGGCAGCACAGGAGAGCUUGCUCUCUGGGUGGCGAGUGGCGGACGGGUGAGGAAUACAUCGGAAUCUACUUUUUCGUGGGGGAUAACGUAGGGAAACUUACGCUAAUACCGCAUACGACCUACGGGUGACAGCAUGGGACCUUCGGGCCUUGCGCGAUGGAUUGAGCCGAUGUCGGAUGAGCUAGUUGGCGGGGUAAAGGCCAACCAAGGCGACGAUCCGUAGCUGGUCUGAGAGGAUGAGCAGCCACACUGGAACUGAGACACGGUCCAGACUCCUACGGGAGGCAGCAGUGGGGAAUAUUGGACAAUGGGCGCAAGCCUGAUCCAGCCAUACCGCGUGGGUGAAGAAGGCCUUCGGGUUGUAAAGCCCUUUUGUUGGGAAAGAAAUCCAGCUGGCUAAUACCCGGUUGGGAUGACGGUACCCAAAGAAUAAGCACCGGCUAACUUCGUGCCAGCAGCCGCAGUAA